GAAAUUCGGAUGGUUGCGCCAUCCCGGGUUGUAAGUGGUAGAAUAUGGAUCAUUACCGGGUCGGGAUUGUGUUUGGGCAGCAUUUACUUGUUCUUGCACAAAUUCAGAAAAUUGAGCUGCCGAAGGGCAUUCAUGAAUAGGGUGAGACGGGCUAGAACAAAGAGCACAAACUGUGCUUGGGGAAAGUUUGGAAGCUGUUCUCUAGACAUUAGCUGGUCCAACUUGCGGGAUAGUGCAUCUACUUUGUCAGAUAGACCUAUGGACUGGCUAACUUCAUAUAAGGUUCCUUUUCUUUGAGAACUCGGGGGUGCUUGACGAGCGGAGGAGGCAUGGUGGAGGAAAUUUUCAUUAAGGUUUUCAAACAAUUGCCAUGCCUCAUGGUCACUUUUAAGCAUGAAAGUUCCCCCGCAUGCGGCAUCGAUCAUCUGACGGUUUCAUUCAGUCAAUCCGUCAUAGAAACAUUGCACUAGCUGCCAUUUAGGUAUUUGAUGAUGCGGGCAUUUUCGGAGUAAAUCUCUAAUUUUUUUCCAAAUUUCAUGAAAUUCUUUCCCGUCAGAUUGGGACAAGCUCGUGAUAGCACGCCUAAAUUGGUUUGUUCUUUCUAUGGGAAAAUAUUUUUUAGAAAUUCACAUUGUAUUUGGGCCCAUGAAAGAAUGAAAUUGGCUUCUAAUGAAUGGAGCCACUGCUUAGCUCUAUCCUUAAGAGAAAAAGGGAAUAGCCUAAGUUUCAGAGCAUCAUCAGUGAAGUUCUGAAUUUUGACAGUGGUACAGAUCUCAAGAAACUCAUCUAAAUGUUUGUAUGGGUCUUCAUUGUUGAGUCCAUAA
rnacentral:lncRNA from 1 species